UAGCUAGUUGGUGAGGUAACGGCCCACCAAGGCGACGAUCGGUAGCCGGACUGAGAGGUUGAACGGCCACAUUGGGACUGAGACACGGCCCAGACUCCUACGGGAGGCAGCAGUGGGGAAUAUUGCACAAUGGGGGAAACCCUGAUGCAGCGACGCCGUGUGGAGGAAGAAGGUCUUCGGAUUGUAAACUCCUGUUGUUGAGGAAGAUAAUGACGGUACUCAACAAGGAAGUGACGGCUAACUACGUGCCAGCAGCCGCGGUAAAACGUAGGUCACAAGCGUUGUCCGGAAUUACUGGGUGUAAAGGGAGCGCAGGCGGGCGAUCAAGUUGGAAGUGAAAUCCAUGGGCUCAACCCAUGAACUGCUUUCAAAACUGGUCGUCUUGAGUAGUGCAGAGGUAGGCGGAAUUCCCGGUGUAGCGGUGGAAUGCGUAGAUAUCGGGAGGAACACUAGUGGCGAAGGCGGCCUACUGGGCACCAACUGACGCUGAGGCUCGAAAGUGUGGGUAGCAAACAGGAUUAGAUACCCUGGUAGUCCACACCGUAAACGAUGAUUACUAGGUGUUGGGAGAUUGACCCUCUCAGUGCCGCAGUUAACACAAUAAGUAAUCCACCUGGGGAGUACGACCGCAAGGUUGAAACUCAAAGGAAUUGACGGGGGCCCGCACAAGCAGUGGAGUAUGUGGUUUAAUUCGACGCAACGCGAAGAACCUUACCAAGUCUUGACAUCCCUUGACGAUGCUGGAAACAGUAUUUCUCUUCGGAGCAAGGAGACAGGUGGUGCAUGGUUGUCGUCAGCUCGUGUCGUGAGAUGUUGGGUUAAGUCCCGCAACGAGCGCAACCCUUAUGGUCAGUUACUACGCAAGAGGACUCUGGCCAGACUGCCGUUGACAAAACGGAGGAAGGUGGGGAUGACGUCAAAUCAUCAUGCCCUUUAUGACUUGGGCUACACACGUACUACAAUGGCGUUAAACAAAGAGAAGCAAGACCGCGAGGUGGAGCAAAACUCAGAAACAACGUCCCAGUUCGGACUGCAGGCUGCAACUCGCCUGCACGAAGUCGGAAUUGCUAGUAAUCGUGGAUCAGCAUGCCACGGUGAAUACGUUCCCGGGCCUUGUAAACACCGCCCGUCACACCAUGAGAGCCGGGGGGACCCGAAGUCGGUAGUCUAACCGCAAGGAGGACGCCGCCGAAGGUAAAACUGGUGAUUGGGGUGAAGUCGUAACAAGGUAA
rnacentral:rRNA from 1 species